GCCGUUGUAGCUCAGUUGGGAGAGCGUCGGACUGAAGAUCCGAAGGCCGCGUGUUCAAGUCACGCCAACGGCA
rnacentral:tRNA from 1 species